CACCUCUCAGGGUCACAUCUGGAGAGUUUUCAGUACUCUACCAGUCUCGACUAAGGCAAGGAGAGUCAAGCAGAGGCCUAGCCAUUCCAUUCUUAGCUUGGACCUUGGCUAGCGAGUGGAAGGCAAUCUGCUACAAGU
rnacentral:snoRNA from 1 species